rnacentral:rRNA from 1 species
GACAGAGGUGCCGAGCGUUAGGCGGAAUCACUGGGCUUAAAGCGUGUGUAGGCGGGCGGGCAAGUACCUUGUGAAAUCCCACGGCUCAACCGUGGAACGGCUGGGUAUACUGCCUGUCUUGAGCCAACUAGGGGCGAGCGGAACAGACGGUGGAGCGGUGAAAUGCGUAGAUAUCGGAAGGAACGCCGGUGGCGAAAGCGAUCCGCUGGACCUCUUCUGACGCUGAGGCGCGAAAGCCAGGGGAGCAAACGGG